CGACCAAAGAGUGUAAACAUUGCGAAUUCUUGAGAAUCUGAUAAGUUUUAUAUUAAAAUAAGUGCCUAUAGCAAUUCUCGAACGGUUGAAAUUGCUAUCGACGAUAUAGUUGUAGAAACACAGCUUGUUGAAACCCGUGAAAUGGUAGCUGAUAAUGGACAACUGGAUUCACCAAUUCACUCUACUUUGAAAAGACGGCGGAACAUCAUGCGGUCAUUUAUGAAGCGGUCCUGGUAUAUAAUUUCCAGUCGCGAAGUGGACAGGCAAUGAGCACAUUCUUGAGAGAGACCUACAUCUUUGGGAAAAAUUUCCAACGAGAUCUUUCUAUGAACGCUUAAAAGAAUCAAUAAAUAUAAUA